CACACGGCGGCUGGCGAGCCCAUCCCCGGACUAGUUUCAACCGCUGCAGCCGUUGCUGCGACCUGCUGCGGCCGACAACCCUCAUCCAUCUCCUCAAAUCCUUCUAGAUUCAUGCCGAAGAAGGUAGACUGCCGUGGGUGUCUAGCUAUGCAGUGUCUUCUCCAAUCGACCGGCCGAAACUACCUGAGCCCCCGUCAACUGGCACUCCAAGACACAACUUUCGACCAGUCUUUGACCGAGACAUUCACGAAUCAGGGGCAGUCACUUUAGACUAACUGGAGGUAAAGAUGCGAGCGCUAUGCUACACCGCUUUGCUUUCGUCAACCACGUGCCUGAAAUUUGUCUUCAUACACUCGGUAUGAUCCAGACAUACCAUAUUAUGCCGCUGAAAACAUCCCGUUGUGUCAUUGGGCUAGAAUCGUUGAAGAUUUUGUGCAAAAGCGUUCUUGAUGACGUUCGAGCUGUGUGUGCUCUUAGCUAUCCGAUCUAAGCCAGAGUCAACAAAGAGAGCGAUCGGUUCAGGAUCCGAUCCAGAUCGACUGA